rnacentral:lncRNA from 1 species
GUCCAGUCAUUUUUUCUGGCAGCAGCUGGACCUGAAGAGGAGCUAGAUCCACAGUUGGGAGAGCUGCUGUGUUCUGGCUUGGUAGUGGACUGAUCUGUCCAGUGGAGAUGCUGUGCCAUAGGAAGAGUCAGCCUAGUUGAAUAAAUGAAGAUUGUUCCAUACCUGAAAAUGGAGUUAACAUCUCUAUGAUGGUGGUGUGUGUGUUUCAAGAGGAAUCAAAAGUCAUUGAUGUGGAAACUGAAGUGGAGAUAAAUUGUUACUUGCCCUGGAACACAGAGCUAAUGCUUGUCUGAGGAGGACCAAUGUUAUCAUGAGGGUGAUAUCCUUACUUGCACUUGAAUUGGAUUUAAAUGAGGAAAAGCUGUGCAAAGUCAGUAGACUCAUUUUCUCCUCUAGAGACACUGGAUUGCAAUGGCAAGACAUAAAUCAAGAUGACUGGGUAUAACUCAGGAUUCAGUGGGAGAUCUUGGCCUUUUUAUAAAGUCUUUCCCAAAUCCCAGUUUGUCCGAGGCAAGACCCAUUCAGUGAUUUAAGAUAAAUCAUUGAUUUACCUUAGUAAGGUAAGACCUGAGGCAAAAGAUGGCCAGGUUUACCUUCACAAAAGAAUCAGUCUUGGCGUGGAGGGGGGGAAGAUCUCAGAGUUUCUGGCCAGAACAGAAACAGUUGUUAUUUAUACUCAUGCCAUCAAAACUCAAACAAUGAGUAAGUGAAAUUUUAUUAAAACCCAUUAUAUGGCUAUAUAUGUAAAAUCUUUUGCUAUUAGUGCAAACAAACCUUAAUUGUUGCUAAGUGUCUGGCCAACUUAGCACUUCAGCAGUAACUUGCUGAUUGUUCUGCCCUUCAGUAUCUUCAGAACCAUUAAUCUACAAUUCUAAAUUUAAAUCCGUAGAAGGCUUGGACUGUGCAGGCCACCAUUUUCACCACUCCUUCUCAGUUGGUCAUAUUGCCCACACCUGGGCCAAACAUCAGAAUGACCCAGUCACAACUGACAUUUGUUCUGGUGCCUGCUAUCACCAUAACCUGUACCCUUGCUAUACUAACUCUCCACAGUGCUCUAUGUUACUUCUGUGGACUUUUAAAAACUUGCCAGCCCUGGGAAUCACCUCACCUGGAUAACAUUGUCAUUCUGUGGGCACACCUGCAACCUUCUUUGUGGUUCAAUGAAUUUUAAGGCUCAGUUCCAAGCUGUGGGAAGAUGGAGUCCAGGGUUAUAACCCCAAUAUUGUAAAUAGUUUUUAAAGCCAACAUUCCAUCUGAGCUCAUCCUUGUGUGUGAAUGGAUUGAUUUACAAUGAUUGG